rnacentral:rRNA from 1 species
AAUGAACGCUGGCGGCGUGCUUAACACAUGCAAGUCGUACGAGAAACCCCGGCUUGCCGGGGGAGUAAAGUGGCGCACGGGUGAGUAACGCGUGGGUAAUCUACCCUCGAAUUGGGGAUAACACACCGAAAGGCGUGCUAAUACCGAAUAAGACCACGACCUCCACGGGGGUUGCGGUCAAAGAUGGCCUCCGCUUGCAAGCGGUCUUUCGAGGAUGAGCGCGCGUACCAUUAGCUUGUUGGUGGGGUAAUGGCCUACCAAGGCAACGAUGGUUAGCUGGUCUGAGAGGAUGGCCAGCCACACUGGAACUGGAACACGGUCCAGACUCCUACGGGAGGCAGCAGUGAGGAAUUUUGCGCAAUGGGGGAAACCCUGACGCAGCAACGCCGCGUGAGUGAAGAAGGCCUUCGGGUUGUAAAGCUCUGUCAAGUGGGAAGAACCUUUUUCGGCCGAAUACGCCGAGAAACUGACGGUACCGCUGAAGGAAGCACCGGCUAACUCCGUGCCAGCCGCCGCGGUAA